GCCCAUGUGGCUCAGUGGUAGAGCACUCCCUUGGUAAGGGAGAGGUCGGCAGUUCGAUCCUGUCCAUGGGCC
rnacentral:tRNA from 1 species